rnacentral:snRNA from 1 species
GGAUGCAAAGUUGGUGUCACCCCAUGGAUUGUCAGGUUUGACUAAGAUGAUCUGACUGGCUAGGCAGAUGUUCCCUACCUCCGUCAGGACUCCAAGUGCAUCCUUCUUGAAGCUGCAUACUCGGUGGAAGAGGACUAUUCCAGUUAGAAGGAGGGUGCCAAUCUUCAAUCAAGGGAUAUACAGGAUCCAAUGUGGGUUGGUCGCUGGGAUAAAAAUUUAGUCUAUCAAGUUUUUGGACU